AAGACGCUAGUAGAACGCAUCAUUACACUGCCUUGUCAAGGCAGAAUUGUGGGUUAGAAUCCCGCGCGUCUUA
rnacentral:tRNA from 1 species